GCCGAAGUAGCUCAGCUGGUAGAGCAACGCAUUCGUAAUGCGUGGGUCGUGGGUUCGAAUCCCAUCUUCGGCUCCA
rnacentral:tRNA from 1 species